GGAAAUCAAAGGAGAACUAAACGCUGGAUCUUCAGUACACGGGAAGGGUAGGAUUCACUCCCAGAGGUCGAAGAACAGAGAGGAGAGAAUUCUCCCACAUGCCCCACCCUUCUGGGGCCUUCCUGACCCCACUCUGCCCUCCUCCUAGCUCCGCCUCUGCCAGCUACUUUGGGGGACUAGGUUGGGAUUCUCCACUUUUACCGAAGGCCUUCCAUGUGUCUAACUGCAGUUCUCUCUGUUGCAAGUUAAGCCGGAACUGAAAGACCAGAAACCAGCCUGCCCUAGUCAAAGAAAGUUAGGGCCCAACCAGCCUCUCCCCAAGAAGCAGGGUAAGGUGGGGCAUUCAUCUCUCUGGACCCUUUUCCCCAGCCUGAGCCAGCCUUUGGGGGUAGGGAGGAGGUCCCAGGGAAGAACCUGGUUGCCAAAGUCUCGGCCAGUUGGAGAAGAGAUGGGUCUCCCGAGGAUACCCAAGCCCAAGCUCUACACUGUCCCAAGGUGGUUUGUUUUUCUUCUUUCUUCUAUUGGUCUGGACCUUGUAUAUUCUGGGAGGAGGUGAUUAAGGCCAAAUUGCCUUAAGUGGCCAUCCAGCCAGAAGCUGGAAGAAGGGAAGGAUGAGAGGGAAUGAACUGUUGUGUUACGGCUAUUGAGAGAAACAGUGGCAAUACACAGCCAAAGCCCUGAGUUUCUAAUACGGCGCCACCUCUUAUGAGCUGUGAGAUCUUGGGCAAAGUAACUAACCUUUAAGUAUUUGUCUGUAGAAUUGAGAUUGAAAUACUUAUCUUUGCCAGAAUUGUUAUAAGAAUUAAAUGAGUUGAAAGUGUUUCAUCAAGUGUGCAAUGCUACUCAAGUAGGAGGGACUAAGCUACUUCCUUCUCUCACUGCUUGACUGAGCUUCUCUCCAGCCCCACCCCCUGAUGUUUACUGCUUAUGGAGAAAGAGAUUAAGUGAAGCAGGCCCACACAUUCAUGAAGGUGGAAGGAAGAUGUAGCAGGAGAUGGUGGAGAGGGAAACAGAGGAAGACAGGAUGACAGACGUGGGGAGGAAAGGCUGAGCGAGGCAAUGUCCUGACUCACUCUGGCGCUUCCCUCUUUCCCAUCUGGGCUCCAGAGUCUCUGCCCUCAUUCCCCUUCACCAGGUUGCUCAACCCUCCAUCAGACUGUUAGGUCAAGGGUGGACAAACAGACCAACCGGGAUCUGGAUGGCCCCUGGGCAGUACUGACUUCCCCUACCAUUCCCAUGGCAAGAAAAGGGAGUGAUUCCACUAGCAGACUCCCCUACCCUGCAGUGAGACAGCCUGUAGGAAGCCCACCCAGAGAAAAGGGAAUCUUGGCUAAAAAAAGGCUGGAAGAGGGGAGAACCCUGGCACUGCGGGUGGGGCUGGGAGGAGCCCAGGCAACCUUACUGGUGAGAAUCUCAUGGCUCUUCAAGGUGAAUAUGAUGAUGAUUUCCCUGGGGUUUCUUUCAAUACUCAGAAGCCGCCCCGAGUUGGAAAGCACAUGCAUACUUGGGGAGGCCAGGGGAGGAAAAGGGGGGCGGCUCACUCUGACAGUAAAUGAAGAAAGUGGAAACAAAUUCAAGGAGCAGGCAGAGCUCCCGGUUUCACCAGAGCCCAACGGUUGGUAAUAAGGAUGAGAACAAUGUGCCUUCACUUCCUGGGAUCAGAACAGCACAUGGCCGCACAUGUACGGGUAUGCAUGUGCUUCCAUAAUCAUAUACUUUCCCAGCUUCUACUCUGCCUGUGGUCUAAUUUCAACUCCUUCAGCUGCUGUACCCACCCAUAAAAUUAUGAGUGUAAAAGCACUUUGCAAACCCUGAUACUCUAUGAAGAAGUAAAAAGUAGUGCUGUAAUUAUUAUCAUUAUUAUGUCCAAUGGUUGAGGUUUCCGCUGCCCACCUGUCAGCUAUGUGAGGCCUAAAGAGAGGGAGGGCUAGGCCAUUCCUCAGCUUCUGAGGUUCCUGGCCCUUUUCCCCUUCCAUCUGUCCACAGCUGACUGCUAAGCUGGAUGCGUAGGGGAAAGCAGAGAAAAGGUGAUUUACUGGGACACAGAGACACAGGCUGGAAGAGAUAGCAUGUGUUUCCUUAAAAUUUGAAGCAUUUGGCUGGGCACAGUGGCUCACACCUGUAAUCCCUGCACUUUGGGAGGUAAAGGCAAGAGGAUUUCCUGGGCCCAAGAGUUAGAGGCUGCAGUGAGCUAUGAUUGUGCCAUUGUACUCCAGCCUGGGAGACAGAAACCCCCUCUCUUAAAAAAAUAAAAAAAUAAAAAAUGGAACCAUUGCUCUGAGUUUCUAAUAGGGGGAGU
rnacentral:lncRNA from 10 species